GGUGCAAGAGAGACAUCAGGAGAGGGUAACAUCCGGGACGACGGGCACCCGCCAAAGGCCAGGAGCGAUGCUGGGACCUCUUAUCCAAAUGUUCCGCUCAUUUAAUCUGCUGGCAGCAAAGGAGCUAGACUUCCAAACCCAGGCCUGUCUACACGUCAAACGCUGUGCUCUCUCCAGGGUACCAGAAGCCUUAUCCCUGCUUUGCCGCAGACACUAUCAGCAUCGAGAUUGGCCCGUGGAGUUGUGGUGAAGAUCGAAUGAGUGCUUAGCUAAGUGCCUCAAGUAGGGUAAGUGCCACAUAUGGUCAUUGUGACAACGGAGGAAUGUCCACUGAUGUCAGGACAAAGAAAAUUCUGUUCCAUUCUGAUAACAAUCUGGAGCUGAAGAUGGUAAAUAAGAAAAGACACAGAGAUAGGCUGUUCUGAAGGCACCUAGGAUUGAUUCAUCCAGCCUGCGUACCAUGCAUCCAUGCAUCCAUGCAUCCAUCAUAGAUGCAACAAUCUAAACAAAAUUAAAAAAAAAAUCAUUCUCUGACUCUUGCAAGGGUGUCUUUAACCCACAGGGAGAUAAAGCCUGAAAUACUGGGGUUAUUGGAGAAACCCUUUUACGGUUCUGCUGCCUCCUUAAUGGGGGAGCUAGAAAAAAUAAAGUCAUGAAGGGAGCCAAGACCAAUGACGUCUUGGUAGGAAGGUCAGCAACAAGAAAAGAGCAUGGAGGUUAAGUGCCUCUCCUGGGGCAAGUCCUCUCCUGUGUGAAGAGCUUGGUGGGGCUGGAUGCGGGACACUCUAGCCCAGUGCACCACAGUCCAGGGGUCUCUGGCUGACAGCCCACUAGGUUUCUGAGCUGGUGUGAGGAGAGCAGGAUGGUGGGAAGCCAGGCAGAGCUUUGCUGAAGUUACAUCUCAGAGCCAGGGAGAAUGGGAAGUACCACCCUCUGCAGUAGCCUCACAGGAGUGUUAGGAGCUGACCUGUAAAUAGCAGUCAGAGUGAAUAUGGUGGGUCUUUUCUGCCCAGCAUCUAUUGCCCUGUCUCCUGCUUACCAAGCCAGCUCUAAACCCAUAGGUUCAGCAGAGCUGACUCCAGCUCCAGAGUUGGACAAAUGACCAGGGCUUGACUAAUCCCAGCAUCAGUUCUUCUAGGCCACUGUAGUUGGUUCAGGGUAGACAUGUGACCGAAUUGGUCAAAUGGGAUUCAAUUUCUGAACUUUUGUUUGAACUGUUUGGGAAUAAAAUCUCUCUCUCUUUUCACUGGACUCACAGUGAAGAAGAUAUGGGGCCUGGAGCUUUUGGAAGCUAGUGAGUACAGGGCUAACACAGCAAAGCAGUGUUGAGAGAAGGACAGAAAUCAUAUCCUGAUGCCAUGUGUGUGAGCUCCUGGAUCCAACCAUACCUGAAGGGUGACUGAGUUUUUCAGAGAUUCGAGGGUCCUGAUUGAUCCACUGGCUCUCCAAAAAAACACAUCUGGCUCUCUGAACACCAUUAGGUGGGAGAAAUCUCACCACCAGAAUGCAUUUCCACUCUCCACCCUUCCUCUCAACUCACAAUGGAUUACUUUCUCUGCAGCAGUUUAUAAGCUGGGAUCCUGGCAUACAAAGGGAAUAGGACCUGGGUGUUCUUUUCAAAGACUCAUGGUCUAAAGCGAGUGACAAACCUAACUAGAAUAGCCCAGUAUUAAGAUGUUCCGAGAUGAAAUAAAAACUGUCAUAGGAACUAAUUGGAGAAAGGAAGCCUGGGUCUCAGAGGGGGCUGGAUGCAGGACGCUCUAGCCCAGUGCACCACAGUCCAGGGGUCUCUGGCUGACAGCCA
rnacentral:lncRNA from 1 species